rnacentral:snoRNA from 15 species
CGGGUGUGCUCAGAGCAGGGGGCCCAAAGAAUGGCCCCUCUGUUUAUAACACACCCAAGAGGAAUCUGGGCUCAUUUGUAACCAGGAGCACACAACUUGUGGCUUUCCUAUGAACAAAUGCCUUACAUAU